AUUUAAGAAUUAAUCCGGAGAAAUGUUUUUUUUUCCCCCCAGAAAAAAUGUUAAGUAUUUGGGUCAUAUAAUUUCUGCCAAAGGGGUAGUUACAGAUCCGGAAAAGAUUUCCGCAGCAAAAGACUGGCCAGUUCCGCAUACUAAGAAGCAAUUGCGUAGCUUCUUGGGUUUUUGUUCGUAUUAUCGCAAAUUUGUUAAAGGUUUUUCUUUUAUUUUGAAACCUCUUUAUACGUUAACGGAAGAUAAGGUUAAAUUUUCUUGGGGAGAAGAAUGUCAAAAUGCUUUUGAUGAAUUGAAACGCGUAUUAUCUUUUUCUCCUAUGCUUUUUUUUCCGCGGGAGGGAGAGAAAUUUAUUUUAGAUACCGAUGCUUCUAAUAUCGGUAUUGGUGCAGUUCUUUCUCAGAAACAGGAAGGAAAGGAACGAGUCAUAGCCUAUUUUAGUCGCGUUUUGAAUAAAGCCGAGAGGAAUUAUUGCGUUACGCGUCGAGAACUUUUGGCAAUAGUUGAAGCAAUCAAAGCUUUCCGUCAUUACCUCUUGGGACGAAGAUUUUUGAUUCGUAGGGAUCACGUUUCCCUUAGAUGGCUUUUGCCUUUCAGAGAUCUUGAGGGACAGCUUGCGCGUUGGUUGGAGAGACUCCAACAAUUUGAAUUUGAAAUUGUUUUUCGGAAAGGACAUUUUCACGAAAACGCCGAUGGAUUGUCUAGACGUCACUGUGAAUCUCAAGGUUGCAGAUAUUAUACUAAAAUCGAAGAAAAUUGUGCUCGAGAGUCGAGGAAAACUAUUGCUCGUAUUACCUUGGCUGAAGAAAAUUUAGAAGAAUGGCAAAGGGAGCAGAAAGAGGAUCCUAGUUUGUCGGUAAUUUUCCGCGGUAAGGAAACAGGAGUACGUCCUUUACGCUCGGAAGUUUCAGAUGUUUCUGCUCGCAUUUACUUGUCAUAUUGGGACGUUAUAAAUCUUAAGAACGAUGUCCUUUAUAAAAAUUGGUAUGCUCCAAAUUUGAAAUCUAGCUUCCUACAAUUAUUAGUUCCACGUAAACGAGUCAAAGAAAUUUUAGAGAAAGCCCAUGACUCUUUGUCGGGAAGACAUUUCGGGGUGAAUAAGACCUUGGAGAAAAUAAGAAAGCGGUUUUACUGGGCUUUGUGUAAGCAAGAUGUAAAUCCUGUGAAGUGUGUGUAGCAAGAAAGGGCCCCUUAGGAAAGGGAAAGUCCCCUUUGCAGAUCUUCAAUGUUGGAACUCCGUUCGAGAGAGUUCAAAUGGACAUUCUUGGUCCUUUUCCCAUUACUUUUUCUGGAAAUAAGUAUUUGCUUGUUGUAGUCGACUGUUUUACCAAAUGGGUAGAAGCUUUUCCCUUGAGAAAUAUUAGAGCGAAAACAGUGGCGGAGGUUUUUGUUAAUCAAAUUGUUUCCAGGCAUGGGACACCUUUCGAGGUUCACACGGAUCAGGGAAGGAAUUUUGAGUCCAAACUUUUUACUGAACUUAUGAAACUUCUUGGAAUUAGGAAGACAAGGACUACUGCCUUGCAUCCUCAAUCGGAUGGUCAGGUUGAAAGACAGCAUCAAACCAUUACUAAUUAUUUGGCGAAGUAUAUUUCUUCAAAUCAGAAGGAUUGGGAUCGUUGGAUUCCUAUGUUUCUUUUGGCCUAUAGAACCUCAAAGCAUGAGGCUACCGGUGUGACUCCGGCAGAGUUGUAUUUUGCGCGAGAUCUUAGAUUGCCUUUGGAUUUGUUACGAGAGAAACCGCCUGAAUCUUGUAAGGAAGAUUCUCAUACUGUAGAAGGUUUCGUUAAGGAUUUUCAACGGAAAAUGGGAUUUUAUGCGAGUGUUAAUGAAAGAUUAGAUAUUCGAUCUUCACGUGUUAAGUCUCGCUAUGAUCGCAGAGCUAGACAUAUUUUAUUCCAGGAGGGGCAGAAGGUCUGGUUCUUCAAUCCCCGAAGGGUUAAGGGGAAGGCUCCUAAAUUACAAAGUGAUUGGGAGGGACCUUAUUCUAUUGUUAGGAAAUUGAGCGAAGUAGUUUAUUGUAUUCAGAAAACUCCGAAACAUAGAAGAAAGAUAGUUCAUUCAGAUAGGUUAGCUCCUUUCUAUGAGAGGAAAUUGGUUCGUUAGGUGAGUCGGAGCCCGGAAUAGAAAGUAAUAAAAGGAAACGAGACGUUGACAAAAAUAGAAUUGUUUUUUUUUUAAAUCGGAGAAGUUUGUUGCUUGUUGUUUUAUUUUCUUUUCAGGGAAAGGAAAAAAAUUACGAAACGAGAGAUGCUUUACAAGCUUUCCUGGAAAGUGAGCGAAAUCCUUUCGACGUGGGAUCAGUUUCUUUUCUUUUCUUACAAGAAAAUUUCUUGUGACUAAAUGAAGACUGCCUCACCCACGGUUUUUGAGCCGUGGUUUUCCCGUGGGGCAAAGGGCAAAUGCCGAGGCAGGGACUAGAGGAGUCCUUUCAGGACGACGGGUCCACGGUGGUUACCCCCCUCUUGUCCGAAGAGGAACGGCGACGUCGGCUGAAGCGUGGAGGGCAGCGUUUAGAUCAAAUCCAGUAAACGAGAACCCGGAGGAGUGGAGUUUACUCAGAUGUCGGCCGAGGGAGAGGGAGGUCGUCUUUUCCUCAGAGAAUGCCGAAUGGUGGUUCUAAAGGACUUUUGGAAAGGAUGGAGGUCCUGGAUUUCCCUGAAGACAAUUAGGACUUAUUUAGGAGCGGCGCUCGGUAACCUGAGACAAAGCUCAGGAAGAGCGGGAGGCCGUCUUGGAACUUUUGUGUCCUAGUCAGGGGAACGGAAGCCUUGGAACUACCCUUUCGGAUUGUCGGGACGACAAUCUUGAAGAGAGAGGGUAGUGUUACGCCCGCGCUGCUGGACGAUUACUGAGUAGGCCGCGUGGCGUUCCUUGACGACGGGCUGCUGUUUACAAACAAGUGCCUUUGCGACUAGAUUCCGAGCUAUCAAACUGUUCGGACGUAUUUCUUGGCAUUCAAUUACUGUGUUCUUGUAUUUGUGUUACAUUAAAGAGCCGUGUGAGUUCUCAGUGGUGUAACAAUUUAUUUCGAUCGGGAGUGCGUGUAACAGUAUUUUGAGAUUUUACGAGAAAAAAUACGCGACUGAAAUACUCACAGACGGUACAGAAAGAGAUUUCUGUCGAAGAAUUGUUGUUACUGACGGAGAACAGUAUCAAGG